CAAAGGCAGAGAGAUGAGGAACUUUGACGAUCACAUGAGUGUCUGUGAUCUCAAGUGGUUCGAGGAUGCUGAUUCCAUCAUCACUGAUGUGAACGACAGACAGCAGGCCUUCAGGUUGCAAAUCUGUGAAAACAGAUGAAAGGCAUCUAGUACCUACGUUUUAUGGCAACUUGGUACCAGUAUAAGAAGUGUCAGUUCUUGUGACAUUGCUACAGUAGACUCAUGUGAUCCAUGUGCUUCUAGUGUGGGAGAUGGAGCUCACAGACAGCAUCCUCAUGGCACUGGAUAUUGAACAGCGGACCUGCAGCAGUCUUGCCAGCUGU